AUUGAACGCUGGCGGCAUGCUUUACACAUGCAAGUCGAACGGCAGCGCGGGCUUCGGCCUGGCGGCGAGUGGCGAACGGGUGAGUAAUGCAUCGGAACGUGCUCAGUAGUGGGGGAUAGCCCGGCGAAAGCCGGAUUAAUACCGCAUACGACCUGAGGGUGAAAGCGGGGGACCGAAAGGCCUCGCGCUAUUGGAGCGGCCGAUGUCGGAUUAGCUAGGUGGUGGGGUAAAGGCUUACCAAGGCGACGAUCCGUAGCUGGUCUGAGAGGACGACCAGCCACACUGGGACUGGGACACGGCCCAGACUCCUACGGGAGGCAGCAGUGGGGAAUUUUGGACAAUGGGGGCAACCCUGAUCCAGCCAUGCCGCGUGCGGGAAGAAGGCCUUCGGGUUGUAAACCGCUUUUGUUCGGGAAGAAAUCCUCUGGGCUAAUACCCCGGGGGGAUGACGGUACCGGAAGAAUAAGCACCGGCUAACUACGUG
rnacentral:rRNA from 1 species